GAAAGAGCUGGAUGAGGAGACGUUCCUGAAGAACUAUGGAAAUGAUACAUCUGCACAUGUCCCUGUCUUGCUCGGUGAAGUUUUGGAUGUUUUCACCUCCGUUACUCUUCGCUCCUUCCUUGAUUGUACUCUCGGUGCCGCCGGCCAUUCCUCUGCGAUAAUUCGAGCUCAUCCCGAAAUGCAAGUAUAUGUUGGGCUUGAUGUUGAUCCCAUCGCGCAUCAGAAGGCUCAAUCUCAGCUGAAG
rnacentral:misc_RNA from 1 species